GAAAGUGUUUACGUAUACGUAUACGUUGACAUUAAUAAUCUGUCAAAACCGUAAACACAUUAUUUUCAUAACGCAAUUUUGCGAUAGUUCCUAUUAGUUGAAAAAAAUUAAAUUUUUGUGUGCAAACUGAAACGCAAAAUGGUUUAGUGCGAUGUAUGCCAGCAGAAUAUUUCGGGAAACAUUUACAAGCACAAAAGAGUUGAGCACAGUUGGGAUCGAGGUGGUAUUAAAUUGAUUAAACAGGAAGAUAAAACUCUGAUCGAAGCUAUACAAAACGAAAAAACAUUCGUUGGACCUUCGCUGUUAUAUUUGAAACGUCUCGCAAAUUAUGCGGUAACACAAAAUUUUCAAGCCACAUUUUUUGGAGUCGACUCACCAAAACCAGAACUUGUCAUUACAACGGGUACAAUUGCAGAGAAUGAAAGAAAUUUGGCUGAAAUUGUGGAUCAACUCUAUGGCCAAAUCGGUCAAUGAACUACGAUCGCUAUUCAAUAUUUAGUUUAUGAAUAUGUUCAUUUUUUCACGCAAAAUGCGACCAAUUACAUUUAUAAUUAAAUACCAUGAAUAAAUAUUAAUUUUUUAUGUAAAAAAUGGAAACAAAUCUCUUUUCAUUUGUUCGCUUUCAAGCGGGUUGAAAUAUUCAUUGAAUUCACAAUUUUUUAUAUUUUUACAAGCAUGGAUUGUGAAGAACGCCAAAUAUAUGAGAACCAUAAAUAAAUCCAAAUGAAUAAAUUGAAAUUCAGCAGUGUUUUAGUAGUAUAGUGUUUUUAUUUUUGUUUGAUAUCAAUAUGUAGCUAAGAGACAUUUUCCAAUCAUUUAUAUUUAUUUAAUUAAACAUAAAAGUAAGUAAUUUACGCAUAUUUUGCGAGAGAACUAAUGCUCAGGUGUAUCAACAUCAGACAUCUCCGGGAUUGUAUUUUCAUUCUCUGCAAUUGUACCCGUUGUAAUGACAAGUUCUGGUUUUGGUGAGUCGACUCCAAAAAAUGUGGCUUGAAAAUUUUGUGUUACCGCAUAAUUUGCGAGACGUUUCAAAUAUAACAGCGAAGGUCCAACGAAUGUUUUUUCGUUUUGUAUAGCUUCGAUCAGAGUUUUAUCUUCCUGUUUAAUCAAUUUAAUACCACCUCGAUCCCAACUGUGCUCAACUCUUUUGUGCUUGUAAAUGUUUCCCGAAAUAUUCUGCUGGCAUACAUCGCACUAAACCAUUUUGCGUUUCCUGUUUAAAUUAUAAAAUAAUUGUUGAUAUAAAGAAUGUAAAACUGAGAGUAAAGAGCGAUUGAGGUUAGAAUAUCACGAAAAUGUGCAUAUGAUUCUAAACGUUCUAAACUCAUUUAUUGGUUUUUUUCUCUCUGCUUUACAUUUCUUGUUACUGUAAAAUCACUUUUCAAAAAUUUAUGAAAUCGUAUUCAAUCUAAACACAAUAAAAUCACAAAAUAACUUACAGUUUGCACACAAAAAUUUAAUUUUUUUCAACUAAUAGGAACUAUCGCAAAAUUGCGUUAUGAAAAUAAUGUGUUUACGGUUUUGACAGAUUAUUAAUGUCGACGUAUACGUAACCACAGCUGUCAUAAUAUAUACGUAACUUCGUAUUUUCACAUUGUGGAGAAUUUUUUCUGUUUCAUUAAUAAUGAAUCAUUAUUUUCUGUUCCCAUAGAAUGGUAUGGCGCUCAUUAGCGAGA